rnacentral:rRNA from 1 species
UAAGCAUAUCAAUAAGCGGAGGAAAAGAAACCAACAGGGAUUGCCUCAGUAACGGCGAGUGAAGCGGCAAAAGCUCAAAUUUGAAAUCUGAGGCUGUCAGCCCCCGAGUUGUAAUUUGAAGAUGGUGUUCUGGNGCCGGCCCCCUGUCUACGUUCCUUGGAACAGGACAUCACAGAGGGUGAGAAUCCCGUCUGGCGGGGCGGCCUGGCUCCGUGUAGAGCGCCAUCGACGAGUCGAGUUGUUUGGGAAUGCAGCUCUAAGUGGGUGGUAAAUUCCAUCUAAAGCUAAAUAUUGGCGAGAGACCGAUAGCGAACAAGUACAGUGAUGGAAAGAUGAAAAGAACUUUGAAAAGAGAGUGAAAAAGUACGUGAAAUUGUUGAAAGGGAAGGGUAUUGGAUCAGACUUGGUGCUGUGCGAAUAGCGGCUCUUCUUGGGCNGCCCACUCGCACUCCACCGGGCCAGCAUCGGUUUGGGCGGCAAGACAAUGGCGGGGGAACGUGGCACUGCUCUCGGGCAGUGUGUUUAUAGCCCCCGCUGAUGUUGCCUGCCUAGACCGAGGACUGCGGCUUCUGCCUAGGAUGCUGGCGUAAUGAUCCAACACCGCCC